ensembl:snoRNA
AAGACUAUACUUUCAGGGAUUAUUUCUAUAGUGUCUGACUUGAGAAAUGUGUUUCUAGAGUGUUUGGUCUCGUUAACCACGAUGAUGAGUUGUGAUAUUUCUUUCUGAGCGUGAAGCUGACACAGAAUAAUGAUUCACUUCAUGUGUUCUCUGUCAUUGAUGACCGUUCAUUGUUUCCUAGAGGAGCAUUGAGGAAAGGAAUAUGAUCAGAGUGGUG